UACGUAUGGGGCAAGCGUUAUCCGGAUUUACUGGGUGUAAAGGGAGCGCAGGCGGCCUGGCAAGCCUGAUGUGAAAUACCGGGGCCCAACCCCGGGGCUGCAUUGGGAACUGCCAGGCUGGAGUGCCGGAGAGGCAGGCGGAAUUCCUAGUGUAGCGGUGAAAUGCGUAGAUAUUAGGAGGGACACCAGUGGCGAAGGCGGCCUGCUGGACGGUGACUGACGCUGAGGCUCGAAAGCGUGGGGAGCAAACAGG
rnacentral:rRNA from 1 species